GUCCUCCGCAUUGGGACAUCCAUCUCGAUCGGGACCGGGACAUCCACGCUGUUUUGGCUGGAUUGCUGGGCUGGGGACCUCCCCUUCACGGCGAGGUUUCCUGCCCUCUUCUCCAUCGCCGUUGAGUCUAGGAUUUCCGUCAAGGCGGCCCUUAUUGACUUAGGGCAUCUCGUUUUCCGACGGCCUUUUGGGCCCCCGGAAGUUGCCGCUUGGCAUGAUCUCCUUGAUGCCAUGGCUCUUCAUGAGCCUGACCUGUCUCAGCCCCAUGACCGGUUGUCUUGGCGCCUCGAGCCUUCAUGCCGCUUCUCUAUGAAGUCGCUGUAUCGAGCCAUUGCCUCCUCUCCUAGCCCGACCGUCUUCGAGUAUAUUUGGACCAUUCAUUUGCCGCUCAAGAUCAGAAUUUUCAUGUGGCAAUUGAUUCGUGGCCGGCUCCCCUCUGGCGUGGAGGUGAUUAAACACCAUGGUCCGGGUGACGGUAUCUGCCCCUUAUGUGGGACAGAAGAAACCUCGAAUCACAUCUUCUUCUCGUGCAUGUUGCUACGUCUUGAGCUUGCGUUGGUUUUCCUCGAAGAGGAGAGGGUGAUGCAGCAAAGUGUGGCGUAA
rnacentral:rRNA from 1 species